ACCCCUGAAGGAGUUUUCGGACAACGGAAGGGGCUGCUUAGUGGCGGACGGGUGAGUAACGCGUGAGGAACCUGCCUUGGAGUGGGGAAUAACAGCUGGAAACAGCUGCUAAUACCGCAUAAUAUAUCUGGGCCGCAUGGCUCUGGAUAUCAAAGAUUUAUCGCUCUGAGAUGGACUCGCGUCUGAUUAGCUGGUUGGCGGGGUAACGGCCCACCAAGGCGUCGAUCAGUAGCCGGACUGAGAGGUUGGCCGGCCACAUUGGGACUGAGACACGGCCCAGACUCCUACGGGAGGCAGCAGUGGGGAAUAUUGGGCAAUGGGCGCAAGCCUGACCCAGCAACGCCGCGUGAAGGAAGAAGGCUUUCGGGUUGUAAACUUCUUUUGUCAGGGACGAAGCAAGUGACGGUACCUGACGAAUAAGCCACGGCUAACUACGUGCCAGCAGCCGCGGUAAUACGUAGGUGGCAAGCGUUAUCCGGAUUUACUGGGUGUAAAGGGCGUGUAGGCGGGACUGCAAGUCAGAUGUGAAAACCACGGGCUCAACCUGUGGCCUGCAUUUGAAACUGUAGUUCUUGAGUACUGGAGAGGCAGACGGAAUUCCUAGUGUAGCGGUGAAAUGCG
rnacentral:rRNA from 1 species